GACGAACGCUGGCGGCGUGCCUAAUACAUGCAAGUAGAACGCUGAAGCGAGGAGCUUGCUCUUCUUGGAUGAGUUGCGAACGGGUGAGUAACGCGUAGGUAACCUGCCUUGUAGCGGGGGAUAACUACGGGAAACGAUAGCUAAUACCGCAUAACAAUGGAUGACACAUGUCAUUUAUUUGAAAGGGGCAAUUGCUCCACUACAAGAUGGACCUGCGUUGUAUUAGCUAGUAGGUGAGGUAAUGGCUCACCUAGGCGACGAUACAUAGCCGACCUGAGAGGGUGGUCGGCCCACCUGGGACUGGGACCCGGCCCAAGCUCCUACGGGGGGCAGCAGUAGGGGAACCUCGUCCAUGGGGGGAACCCUGACCGAGCAACGCCGCGUGGGUGAAGAAGGUUUUCGGGUCGGUAAGCUCUGUUGUAAGUCAAGAACGGGUGUGAGAGUGGAAAGUUCACACUGUGACGGUACCUUACCAGAAAGCGACGGCUAACUACGUG
rnacentral:rRNA from 1 species